CUCGGCCGUGCGGCCACCCGCGCCUCCAGGCCGUGCGCGACCGACCGGAACGCGGCGAGCUCCGAGCUCCCGACGGCCAGGCCCGAGCUGCGCCGGACUGGGCCGGGGUGGGCUCGCAGGGACGAGGUUCGGGGACGGGACCCAGUUCCGUGGCGGGCUGCUUUCCUUCCUCAGAGGCCGCGAGGUCAUGGCGGCGGCUCGAGUUCCCUGCUUCCAGUGUGGGUUGGUCAGUUCCUCCACAGCGCUUUUAAACGCCGUGAGACGGUCCCACUCUGCCAGCUGCUCUGUGGCAAGCUGCCCAGCGUUUCACCCGUGUGUUCCCUGCCGCCCGCGCUCGGCGCGGCCUCGACUCAGCCUCCCCGAGGAGGUCCCCUCGGACCGUCGUGGCCCUGGCGUUUGCCAUGCGAGGACAUCGCGUUGCGCUCCUGAGCCGAAACCUGUGCGCGCUCGGCGGCUGAGGCCUUUGGUGCCGCAGGAGGCAGAAACCGGAGCCCCGUGCCCGGCCCCGCAGGGACCGGAAAGGCGAGCAGCCUGCGCUGCCCUCUCCGCCCGCUCGGAACCAGGGUCCCUAGGGUUCGGUCGCUCAGGUUCUGCCCUGAACCAGGCACAGGUCCAUCGGAUCAUUUCCACUUACGAAGUAAACGAUUUGGUUUUUUAAAACUUCAUUUUAAACAUUAGGUAUUUUAAAUCAUCACAAAAUGAAGUUGGAAGACUAAGUUACUGGAGUCAACUUAGAUAACUUGAUACAUUACAUAUUAUCAAUGACAUUUUAAAAACAAAACUGAUUUUUGACUUCGGAAAACCAAGUAAUAAUUGUCAUUUCUAGUUAGAGACUGAAGCAAAUUGUGAAAAAUCAUGUAAAUACCUAGGCUACUUUCUCAAACUACUGUUGUUUUUCUCUUUUUUAAAGACUGCUAAAAAUCGUGAGAUUUGGAAGUAGAAGAUGUUCAGGUUAUGUUUUCAGAAAGAUGCUUGUCAAUCACAGUCAACAAGCUGUGGGUUUCCUGAAUGGAAGUAAAAGCCGCGCAGAGUUAAAAGUCGUCCCAUGUCUUGGGACUGUGCUUCUGGUGGCAGUGCCUCCCCUCUGUGGAUGAAACAUGCCGCGUUGGAUGCAUUCCCGUGAAGCAGGCAUUGUCUCUGCUCCCCGGAGGAUCCUAGCUCUCUGAAAGAGCUCUUUCAGGAAACACCUAGGUUCAACUUCAUGCAGCAGGAGCUCCAGUUGGAUUCACUUGGUACUUCAGUAUGCUGGAAACGAGAAAGCUUCAUUUAUAAUGUAAAGGUACCUAAGAGCCAUCUGACACUUCUAUUCAUGUCAGUAAGAAUGGUUUCUGUCCACACGGGCGUAGAGUCUGCCCGACAGGAUACACUGAUGAUGUCCAUUUCAACAUUAGCAUACGUGGACAUUUGCAGCACUUCCUGUUUUCUUAAUUUUUAACUUUCAAUUUUAAACUUUUAUUAACAAAAGGGGAACUGUACUGGAACGGAUGGAGCCAAAUGUACCACUGUGUGCAGCUUUGGUAAAGGAAUUUAAAGGAGGUAAAAUAUGUGCGCUUCAUUGUCUCGGUGGCAGAAAGAAGUGAGUCAGGACCUGGUACAAGGAUGUUGCAAGCCCUUCAUUUACUGACUUCUUGCCUCUGUCAGCUGCGGCUCAAAGCACUUCCUGUGUUGACUGAUUUGGCCUGGUGACAGUGGUGUGGGGCAGGUGCUGUGCAGCUGAGAAAAUAGGAGGUUAAGCACUUCCCCAAACUCACCAAGACAGCCUGUUCUCCACACCCCACACCAUCUAGCACCAGACUUCCCAGGGCAGGCAUGAAACAUGUGGGGACCUGCUCAGUGCACCCCAGACCUGCAGAGCCUGAACCUCUGAGCCAGCCCAGCCUGAGUUUUACUAAAGCCACUCAGACUAGAGUUUGAGAAUCCCUGGCAAAAAGGAAGGUGGUGGCAAUGUUAACGAUCUCUUUUCAUGGAUUUUCAUUCUAGAACAAAUGCUGGGAAGUUGCUCUAACAUACAGUAUGUGUGUUCCCAAAGGUGAAGGCUCCAGAUGUGGCGGCCAAGCUGAAGAGACCAUCAGAGAGGCUGAAGGAGAAGCAGGAUGAACAGCAGAAUUACCAGGUUCUGACUCUGACGGUGGCCAGUCUGUGUCUCUUCUUCAUGGUGCUUGCCACACAGUAAGUGACUAUUUGUUCAGUUCAUUGAUUUGUUGAUUCCCUGAUUGAUUGACUAGGUGGAGAGAAUGGGGGAGGUGAUUCUCGGAUUAUUCAGAGACCCGACACAAAGGGAACCCAUGGAGACCAGCUAGCUAGAGUGACGACCCUAAUCAGAAGCACCAUGAGAAUGGUACUAACAUUCUUCUGCUGGCAGGAGAUUCUCUUGCUUUGCUGAGACGCAUAGUGAUGAAGGAAGAGACAUCACAGCCCUUUCCUGGGGUGCAGAGUCCCGUCUCAUCCGCAGAGCAGGGACAGCACAAGUGCUGAUCCCAGAAGUGACUGAGGGUGAAUGCAGCCACUCACGGUGGGACUCAGCACGACGUCAUUCUGUCUCAAGUUCGUUAGGUCAACAUUUUUAAUCGGUGCAAAUAGAUAAAUAGCACAUGUUCACAGAGGUUUUAUGCGUUUGGUUUUUUAUCUGAUUCCAUGGACUCCUCCUGUAGCACACGUUUAAACAUCAGCCUGGAUCUCUUCCGUCUUCUUGCCCCUGAGUUCGUCUUUGCUUUGCAGUUCUGGCCGGAACCAGAACCUGGGGCUGUUAGGCUAGCGCUGGCCACUGAGCUACCCUGCCAGGCCUCAUGUAUUAAUCUGAAAACUUCAAGGUCCUUUCACUGAUCAAGAAAUAAUGACUGUACUUUUAAUAUUUGAUUAAUAACUUUGAAAAUUAGCCUAAAAUUUGUGUUUAGUUAUGUUGGGAGUCCUGAAGGGAAAAGUUCUAGCUGUACAGCAGGACCAGGGGGGGUUGAGCAGUUCCUUGGGGUACUCGGGCUCAGCUCCUUCUGCCCCUUCUCUGCUAAUGACCACCCUCUCCACCCUCCAGCCUUGCAGAUUUCCUGACCUCCAGACAGCCCUCUCUUUCCCUUGCCUGGACCCUGUGUUUUUUCUGGAAGCAUCAUCUCCAGCAGAAUCUCCCAGGGCAAUGCUUCCCACCCAUCACCAGGCACAUGCAGGACAGGGAGGACAUUUUUAUGCCUCUGUGUAUCCAUCAUCAAAUGAUUCCUUGAUUAUGAAACUGUCCUAUGUGCUCCUAAAAUGCAGGCUGUGGUGAGCCGUUCCCCCAUGGCCUGGGUACCCAGCUCCCAGAGGCUGGAUCGGCUCAAGGCAUCGGAGCCUGCCCUGCCUCUCCCUUGGGUGCCUCCCUCUGUGACUUUGACCCUGGGAUGCUCCUGGGCUCUGCAGGGUACAUAAGCCUGCCUUUCAAGGACUCAGACCAUUCCCUUCAGGGAGCAAGGGAAGGGUUGCUGCCAUCUCUGUGCUGUUUGUAAUGAGCACCCAGUGCAAUCCAAUCUGUUUAAAACAUGUGGAGAUGGUUACAUAAAAUGUUUGAGAUGAAUACUUAAAGUCAGGUUCAUAUAAUUACUCUUCAUUUAUAUCUCUUCAUUUCACUUGCACAAGACCCUCCUGACUGGCAGCAUGAGACCCACGUGGAACACAGCAGAGUGCGGAGUUACGCUGUUCACAGCACGGGUACCAUGCAGACCCUGUGUGCAAGGCUAGUUCCCAGCCAGGCGCUGCUGGGAGGUGGUGGCACCUUUGAGGGUGAGGCCGAGCAGGACAUUAGGUCAUGAAGGACACAUCCUUGAAGGGAGCUCUCAGACCACAGUCUCCUCAUCCUCUUUUUCACAUCCGGCCCUGAGGUGAGAGGCUUUGGUGGACCACACACUCCCACUUCGGUGCGCUGCCUCAGCCUAGGAAACUGCAGGGCAGACAACCACACCUGAAUCUCCAACAUGUGAGUCAGAAGAAACUACUUCUGCAGGGGAAGGGGGAGUUGGGGUGCAGGGCAAAGGAGAGAAGGGGAUGGAAUUCAUAUGAGAAAAUGGAACAGUGGAAACAAAGUCUGUAAACAGGGAG
rnacentral:lncRNA from 1 species